GGAGAGAAGUCGCGGGAGGUCUGUAGUGCUCCCGGGGACCAGGGACUGAAAUACAAGAUACAGCAACAUUUUAGCUUAUCGAAGAAAAACAAAUAGGACAGGUAGAUUUUAGUGGUAGUAAAGGUCAAAUACAGCGUGUAAAGUGCGCAAAAUCACAUUUACACAAUCUAUAAUCGAAUUAUUUACAUUUAUUUUUAACCAAAACACCUGCUAAAGUGACAAGACAGACGUUAGCGUACAGUCUUUAAUGCUAAAACUAUUUCCCGAUGUCUGUCUGAAGAUUACAAGUACAACCGUAUGGCGUAGUAGAAGAUUUUGUGCUGUGACACGCUGAAAGAAAACUAUCUAGAGUCGUCAGUUUUGCCCUGACAAGUACAUCCUAAAAAGAUAUGAAGAUAUGAAGAGGAGGCUAACAGUCCCACUGUGAAGCUAACUGGUUGGCUACAUGGAGAAGAGAUGAGAGAGGAGCACCAGAGUUUGAUGGGCCAUCCCAGACGCCAGUUGACACUUUGUCCCCAGUCCGACCGGAUGUCACAUAAAAAAUUCACUCAUGCGAGAAGCCAGGAGGAAUACCCAGCCCCCCCCCGCCCUUCACCACCACCACCAGCAGUGUGUGCCUCUCAGUGGGGAGUGCAAGGUAAGUGCAGACUUUCCCGGCCAACAGUGACGAACAAGUGUCCGCCUCAUCUGUGACUCAAGCCCCAUUUGGACAUUAAGGAUUAACGGGUCUGCUCUUUCAGCUGCCGCCACCUAGAUGGAAAUACCAGCUCUCUCCCUACAGAUCAAAGAGGCUUUAAAAGGCCGUGUCUGUAGACUGGGCUCCUACAGUUAACCUCUGUUAUUAGAGAGGCCAGCCCAUGUUUCCUGGCAUCACGUCAGCAAGAGGAGACGAUGAAGUCCAGAGACGAUCGGCAAAGACAGACAGAAGGUGCAGAGGCCUUUCUUGAUCUCCAUGAGUCAGCUGAGAACCCAGAGCCAGAGGACAUGGCUGAGAUGUGCAUUGAUUGACAAGGACUCAACCUCAGCCAGCAGAUCAGAGAGAGAAGAGACAGACAUGAGGAUUUACAGGUCCAGAACUUCCAGUCCAGAACCUGCUGCUGUUGCCCUUGCCACCUCCUCCUCCUCCUCCUCCUCCUGCAGAGACAGAACACAUGUUAAUCACUGAACCUGAUCAAUAAAUCUACUGCUCCAGUUCUAAA